rnacentral:lncRNA from 1 species
GAGAGUAGGGUUGGGCUAAAAAAUCCUUAGGAUAGGAUAGAUUGAUACCAGGAGGUCAACCGUUUGUGAGAUAGGGUCAAAAUCAAACCUUUGUCUACUACAUCAACGACCUAGGAAAAAAUAGGAUUUCAUUCAAAGAUCACAGGUUAUGAUUUGAGAGCUAGCUUGAAGUUCUUUCUAGAGACAUAAGAGUUGUUUUGAGAGGGUUUUGGAAGACUUAGCAAUUGUUGUUCAAAGUCAGGGUUUGUAUCAGUGAUUUGGAUUUAUAUAAUAUAAUUAGGGCUAGCAAUUUUGGCUAGUUCAUACAAUUGGCAUGACAUCUAUAGUUGAAAAAUUGAUAUUAUUUGGAUUUUUGGAUGUGCUAAGUGUAUACCUAAUUUUGUAAUAAUCCAACGGCGAGGUUUAGAGAUAUCUAGUUUUUAGCACAAGAAGAUUUCAAAAGGUGGCAGUUUGAGGUUGGAUAGGGUUUCUAUGAUAUUUGAAGAUCUACCAGUCGGAUUAAGGUGAAAAUUGGCAAGGUGUUGGAAGAUUUAAAGAUCAAACUACACACCAAUUUUGAGACAAAGUUAACGGUUGAAGAAGGAGAAAUCAUUGCUGAGAUUUUUGCUUUACUUUUCAAGUUGGCGGCCGAGUGACAUUGUUGCAAUUUUUGGAGGUUUUCUCACAAUCUGUAAGUUGGAUUGCGCUAAAAAUU